rnacentral:lncRNA from 1 species
ACACGGACACACACAUGCAGAAAGACACACGGCUACACGGACCCCUCUAUUGGCUGAGUGGGACUGGCGCAGGUCAUCAUCUGAAGGUUAGUCUGUCACUUCUAUGCCAAGGUUGCCUUCCUGCCUGGUCACUGGCAUCUGACUUUGGGUGUUUGUGAGAUGAGCAAGCUGCUUAGGAUGUGCUCUCUGCGUGGCUUCACCUCCUCAGAGAGGUGGGCAAUGUCUAAAGACAUGUUUCUGUAGUCACAGCUUGAGGAGGGACUGAGGAGCACUUGGCAUCUGGCAGAGGACACAGGACUUCCCUACAUCUGUAGCCAAAAGGCUGAGAAAGCCUGGGUCAAGACCCCUGCAAACUGGCCUGGAGGAGGGACCAAGGCUGGCUCCCUGCAGAUAGGAAGUGGUAAAAUCUGGCAGUCGUCUGAGGACUAGGACAAGGCAUGAUGGGAUAGCACAGAACAGAGUGUUAGAAACAUCAAAAAGAGAAGGUGAAUGAGAGGCUGAAGUGGUCCAAGGUGCACUUGUGUGUCAGUCCAGGCAGCCUCAUUCCCUCCCUAGCCAGGUAGCCUGAGGUUUGUCAUUGUCCUAAACCUCAGCUACCCCAGCUGUACAGGGGGUAAAGUGAAGUUGCACAGAGCCUGAGAGGACGGUUAAUGGCUAAUGGGCUUGCUGAGUUCACAUUUCUAGUGCCCACAUAAACCAGGUGUGGCAGCACGUGUCUGUAACUGUAGCCCUGGGAGGCAGAGACAAGCCGAUCCUCGGAGCUUAGUCACCAGCCAAUCCUGACAGGUCAAUCAGGUUCAGGGAAAGAGCCUGUCUUAGAAUAUUACAGUAGAGGACUGAGGAGAUGGCUUAGAGCAGUGGUAUACCCAGGAAAGGCCAUCGGGGGCCCUGGGUGUGGAAGGAUGUGCUCUCUCCGUUUUCCUGGCUCCUGUCUCUGCCCCUCCAGUAUGAUGAAGUGGAGAGGUGAACGCCCCUGAGCAAGCCACACAGCUUCUGAGAACCUCUGCUCCCUCACCUUUCCAGGAUCUCAGGUGCCUGUGGGACACUCCCUUCAGAGCCCCCAAAACAGGGCCUAACUCACUAUUUUAAAUUAUAUUGUGCCCCCCCCACCACCACCCGUGUGUGUAUGUCUGUGUGUGUGUGUGUGUUUACAACUUGUGGGAGUCAGUUCUCUCCUACCAUUAUAUCAUGUGGAUCCUGGGGGAAACCAUCAGCCUUGAGAGCAGACAUCUGAACCAUCUCACCAGCCCCUCGCUGUUUUUAUUGCUUUACCAAACUCAAACUCUUGCUAACCCCCCCCCCCCCCCCCCCCCCCGCAUCUGGGCAGCAGAGGUUUAGGGGAGGGGAGGGGCAAGGAACACUGGGAGGAGCCACAGGUUUCUACUGGCUAGCAUCUGCUUUGAUAAGUUAAUAGUACCUUGGUUUGCCUCUGGUCCUGGGUUUCUUUGGGACCUAGCAUGUAUUUGUUAUUAAAAUGAUGAAGGUGGGGGAUGGGUAGUCAGGCAGUGGUGGCACACACCUUCAUCUGAGGACAGUCUGGUCUAUUGAGUGAGCCAGGGCUAUUAGAGAAAGCCUGUCCCAAGACACAAAAAACGAACCUAAACAAACAAAACAAAAAAACGAAGGAAGGGGCUGGCUCUUUGUUCCAGAGGACCCAGGUUCAAUUCCCAGCACCCACAAGGCAGCUUACAACUGUCUUUAACUCCAGGAUCUGGCACCCUUGCACAGACAUACAUGCAGGCAACAAAACUAUACAAGGGAGAGAAUUUUAAUAGCAUAAAUUUCCUAUUAUGUAAUUAGUUGUGCCUGUUGAUAGGACUGUGAUAUUUUGAUACCUAUGAACUUUGUAUAAUGAUCACACAAAGUAAUUGGUAGGCCACCUCGUACAUUUAUCAUUUCCUGAUCAGCUGUAAUCAAUCACAAACAUGGGUUUUUAGUUCAGUGUUCAGUAUUGCUGAUCUCAGAAUACUACACUGUGUAAGAAGACUUAGUGAUAGCCGGGCAGUGGUGGCGCACGCCUUUAAUCCCAGCACUUGUGAGGCAGAGGCAGGCGGAUUUCUGAGUUCAAGGCCAGCCUGGUCUACAGAGUGAGUUCCAGGACAGCCAGGGCUACACAGAGAAACCCUGUCUCGGAGAAGG